AAUGACCCUAAGGCUGAUGAGCAAGAGGAUGUCAACGGAACCACCCCAGAUGACCAACAUCAGAUGACCAACAUUCAUCAACAUUGUUCUGAUGAACAGGGUUACAAGUCAUGGACAACGGCU